rnacentral:RNase_P_RNA from 1 species
GUAAGUUGGGUAGUUAACUUUCGGAGUUCGGUCCUUAAGUGGAUAAACAAUGAUAUAUGAUUGUUGAAUUCUGAGGAAGGUCCGCCCACCCGCAAACAAUUGUUUGUGAAAAGUCAUCCGUGAAAAUGGAUUGUCGCGAGGCAAAGCUCUGUUACAGAAACGACACAGCUCAUCUCGAGUUAUGAAACUUGAGUGGAACUUUGAAAGAUGAGAUUUGAUGAAACUAACAUCUUGACUGGUGCAAGUAGAAAACUACGCAUAGUGGAAUGUUAACACGUUCGGUUCGAAUACGACGAACGACAGAAGGUGGCUUAUCCCAACUUAC